rnacentral:rRNA from 1 species
CCUACGGGUGGCAGCAGUGGGGGAUAUUGCACAAUGGGGGGAACCCUGAUGCAGCGACGCCGCGUGGGUGAAGGAGCGUUUCGGCGCGUAAAGCCCUAUCGGCAGGGAAGAAGAUGACGGUACCUGACCAAGAAGCCCCGGCUAACUACGUGCCAGCAGCCGCGGUAAUACGUAGGGGGCAAGCGUUAUCCGGAUUUACUGGGUGUAAAGGGAGCGUAGGCGGUGAUGCAAGUCAGAAGUGAAAGCCCGCAGCUCAACUGCGGGACUGCUUUUGAAACUGUAUGACUAGAUUGCAGGAGAGGUAAGUGGAAUUCCUAGUGUAGCGGUGAAAUGCGUAGAUAUUAGGAGGAACACCAGUGGCGAAGGCGGCUUACUGGACUGUAAAUGACGCUGAGGCUCGAAAGCGUGGGGAGCAAACAGGAUUAGAUACCCCGGUAGUC